AAAGGUUAAGAGUAAACUAUCUAAUCAUCUCCAUCUGAGACCUGAGAAGGAGAAAUGUUGCCUGAAGAAACAGGAAAUUCAGAGCUAAUAGGUUCCAAUUCUAAAGAAAUGACAGAAAUUGUUGGCUACCAGACAGACAGUCAGCAAAUUUUUCCAUGUCAUUGUGUCAUCUACCCUCACAUGAACAUGUCAGGGCCCCUGACAACAAUCCUUUGAAGUAGGUCACUUGAAGGACUAUCCUCUUUUUUUUCUGCAAAGCCUGGGACAAUAGACUUCCCCAUCAUCCACUUCUCCACAGUCUGGACAACUUUCUGGCAGCAGUGGAGGUAAGUGGUUGGUAUUUCACCCCAUGGCCACUUUGCCACAUUUGAAGGGAACUCCAGUUAGGGUUCUUUAGUUCCCAUCAUCUUCUUCAGACAGACUGGGGACACUGCCAGGAGUUGAGGUCUCUCCCACUGUGAAAAGCCUUUAACUGUUUGGACAUCAGAAAUGGCAGAUUCUUCAGAUCUCUAAAGGAUUUGAGAACCACCUUUUUAUGUAAAGUCUUCCUCAGUGGACAAACGUGGCUUUUUUUCAAGGGAUUUACUUUCUCUAUACCUUUGAAUACAUAUAAAAGAAGCUAAAUAAAGCUCAUUUCUGUACCAAAUGAACUAGUACCUAACAUCACUAGAACACUGAUUAUUUAUAGUUGGAUAGUACUAUUUGCAUUCCUUAAUUAUCCAUGGCAGUGUACAGUAGUAAUUUUAUACAAUUAGAAUUAUACACCACAUUGUGAAUAAGAUGCAGAUACUUAUAUCUGAAACAAGAUUUCAAUCAUUUAUGCAAAUACAAUUUUAAAUUCGAAAUCCAUGACAUCCUGAAAUAUUUGAGACUUGGUGUUGCUUUCUAGUACAAAAAGAGAUUGAAUAACCUAUGCUUUUUUAUCAUUUUAGCCCCUUUCUCCUCCUUCCCCAAACUUCUAGAUAGGAGAGUAAAGGGUUGAGGAGGGAAAGAGAAAAUAAGUUAGACAUCCCUGAUUCUAAUCUCCUUUACUCUUUCCUCACUGACCAUGACUAGUAAAAACUAGCAACCAACCCACUAAAUGACAAUAAAAAUCUAUGACCCACUGCAGACAAAUAAUCAGCUACACAUCCUUCUUUUGAGAAUGAGGGUGUCAUGUUCUCUAAAGUUGUAUCCCUAUGAGUGUGGGGUGACAACAAGUUUUGGGGACCUUACAAUAAUUGGGAUAUUUUCCAAAUCCUGUGAGAUCUUGCAGUUUCAUAUGCUUCCAAGUCCUGAAUGUGGAGGGAUUAACUGAAGUCCUGGCUACAUUAACAAUUGAAAAUACAAACACACAUUCAUACAAUUUGAGGAAGGUCACACAAUAUCUACCUCUUGAAGUUUGCUCAAAACAAUUGUUCAGUUACUUUUUAUUUAGCUUCAGGUAUCUUCUUAGUAUACAGGCAGAAACGAGACAGAUCGUUUGCUAAAAUAAUGUUAAUAGCUUCUAAGCCAGUCACGAAUAGAGUCCCUGCAAUCCUUUGAAGUCUCAUUAGAGAGGCUCUAUUUUGCACACUACUCACAAUUCUUAUGUCUCCCGUGUAGCAAACUAAAAUGGACUGUUAUGAUCUGCUUACAUAUUUCAAAAGUUUUCCUAAUCCAAAGUAUUCCACCCUCCUCCAAAAAACACGAGAUUCCUCACAAAAACAAGUCCACUCCCUCUGGUACCAGUUUAUAUAUCAGUCACAUUUCUGUUACUUCAAAACAAAUACCAUGACCAAAAGCAUGUCAAGGAAUACAGUGUUUCACGUUGUGGUAGCCAACCCCCAACUACAAAAUUAUUUCAUUGUUAAGUCAUAAAUGUAAGGUUACUACUCUUUUGAAUGGUAAUGUAAAUAUCCUGUAUAAAGUAUGUCUCCUAUGUGAUUGCCCCAGGAAGUAGUUGCAACCAACUGGUUGAAAACUGCACCUUAUGUGCGGAGGUGGUGGUUGUGGGUUUUUGGUUUUCUUUUGUUUUUACUUUGGCCUCUUUGUCAAAACCGAGAUGCUGAUGAGAACAUACACCAAUAUCUGCGUCCUUUAUUAUCUUCCUUUAGACAUUGUGUUUGUUCUGAUUUUAUCAAUAGGCUGGGUUUCUUUUUUAUUAUUCCCCAAAAUGAACUUGAAAUUAUUAAAGAUGAUGCGUCCUGCAGUGUUUUACUGUCUUACUAUUUGCCAGUGUCUGACAGCCCUUCAUUUAUGCUUUCCUUGGUUGAGAUCUUUUUUUCAUUCCCAUGAAGCCCUGCAUCACAAUUAGGACGGGAUGGAUUUAAACUUGCAGACGAUUCUGGUAGGAAUUCGAUAAAAAAUAUCAGUCACAUUGAUACAUGAAAACGAGAGGUGUCUUCAUUUUCUUCUUUCUUCAGUUUUUUCUUAUUUUUCUUAAUGUGUUCUUCGUAGCAAGUCUUCAGUUCCUUAGAUUUAUUACAAAAUUUUUAAGGCUAGUCUGAAUGGGUUUCUUUUCUUGGUAUGUUUGUUGAUAUUUAUUGUUGGUAUACAGGAAUUUUAUUGACUUUAAAGUGAUUUUAGUGAGUGGGUCUAUGAGCUGUAGGAGUUUUCUAGUGGAAACAUCGUGCUGUUUAUAUAUGGAUCAUAUCACCUGCAAAUCAGAAAAUUCUGACUGCUUUCCUUCAUAUGGACAUGGCCUUUCCAUCUUUCUAUUUUCUGUUUUGGAUAAGAAUUCACAUACUACUUGGAUUAGAUGAAAAGAUUGAACACCUGUGACUUAUUACUGAUCUUAGGGAAAUGCAUUAAGAUGUUCUCCAGUUAGGAUGCUGUUGGCCUUGUAUAUUUUCUUCAUAAUGUUAAUGUAUAUCUUCUCCAUAUCCCAGAUUCUCCAGGACUAUUUCAUGUAUCACUGUGAGAUUUUGCCAAAGAAAUUGUCUGCCUCUAGUCGAUGAUCAUGUGUUUCUAGUUCUUGGUUUCAUGUGGUGUAUUGUUUAUUCAUUUGUAUUUGUUGAAAUAUUCUUGCCCCUCUGUAGUCAAGCCAUCUUGAUCAUGGUACCUGAUAUGGUAUAUGUCUGAAUUUUAUUUGCCUAUAUUUUAUUGAGAAAUUUUUCAGUUAAGUAUUCCUUCCAAUCUUUGUUUUAUAGGCUGUGAAGAGACACCAUGUCCAAGGGAAAUUAUAGAAGAAAGAAUAUAUUGUUGCUUUCAGUUUCAAGGAUUCUGAGCUAUGACUAUUAUGCUGAGGUACAUGGCAGCAGGCUGCGAAGAGAUACCAUGAGCAAGGGAACUUUUCGAAGAAAGAGUUUAUUGGGGCUUACAGUUUCAAGGAUCAUGAGUCUGUGAUCAGUAUGCAGGGGUACAUGGCAGCAGGCUGUGAAGAGACACCAUGACCAAGGGAACUUAUAGAAGAAAGAGUAUAUUGUUGCUUACAGUUUCAAGGAUUCUGAGUUAUGACUAUUAUGCUGAGGUACAUGGCAGCAGGCUGCAAAGAGAUACCAUGAGCAAGGGAACUUUUCGAAGAAAGAGUUUAUUGGGGCUUACAGUUUCAAGGAUCAUGAGUCUGAUAUCAGGGGUACAUGGCAGCAGGCUGUGAAGAGACACCAUGUCCAAGGGAACUUAUAGAAGAAAGAGUAUAUUGUUGCUUACAGUUUCAAGGAUUCUGAGUUAUGACUAUUAUGCUGAGGUACAUGGCAGCAGGCUUCGCAGAGACACCAUGAGCAAGGGAACUUUUCGAAGGAAGAGUUUAUUGGGGCUUAUUGUUUCAAGGAUCAUGAGUCUGUGAUCAGUAUGUGGGGGUACAUGGCAGCAGGUAGGCCACCAUGUUUCUAGAGAACUAGCUGAGAUCUUACAUCUUAUCUGCAAGUUGGACACAGAGAAAGGGAGAGUUAAAUAUAAAUGGUAUGGAAUUUGGGAACCUCAAAACCCAAUCCCAUAACAAUCCUACAAAAAAAAAAACAUAUCUUCUACUUCUUCCCGCACAUUUCCUCUAAUCAGCAACAAACAUUCAUACAUGUGAGUUUAUGGGAGCCACUAUCCUUCAAAAGACCACAUUCUACUCCCGAUUGUCCAUAGGAUCUUAAACAUAUCGUAAUGAAAAAUGCACUUAGCUCGCUUUCCAAAAGCCCUAUAGUCUUUCACAGUCUACACAGUUUGUCCAAAGAGCUUCAUAAAACUGCAGGCAGUCCCUUAAUUAUUCCCUCUAUGAAAUCAAAUGGCCAAUUAUACACAUCCAAUGUGUAAUGCCAAAUCACAUAUGUUAUCAUUGCAAAGGGAAAUUGGGAAGGUGGCAAGCCAAUUCAAGGCAUAAUCCCAAUAGCACACACUCCACAUUCUCUACCUCUGACAGAAGACGAAGAGAUUAUAUGGGUUCACUUCUCUGGCUUUGGUGAUUGUAACAUAAUUCAUAAACUUUUAUUGUAUCAUAUAGAUCUGUGGAUGGUGGUUGUGUUUUCAAUGUCACUCAUUUCUAGGAAUCUUAAUAUUUCCUUAUUUUUUUCUCACCUGAUCCUUCAGUAGUGUAUUGUUUAUGUUACUUACUUUCCAUGAGUGUGUGUAUUUUCUGUACUUUUAAUUGUGUGAUACCAGUUUGAUUCCUUUGGGCUCAGAUAGAAUGCACAACAUUCUUCAACUUUCUUAUAUUUUCUGAGGCUUAUUUUUUUCCUAAUCUGUGGUCAAUUUUAGAGUAAUGUCCACAGGCUGAUAGAAAAUAUAUGUAUAGUUCACUGUAGUUUGUUAGUUCCAUUUGCCUGAUCAUGUCACUUAAUUCUGCUUCUCCUAUUUUGUUUAUUUGCAUAUGAUCUCUUAAGUUGUCAGAAUGGAGAAGUAAUAAACAAAUCACAACCACUAUUAUAACUAAUCUGUAUUUUCACUAUUAUAACUAUCUGUAGCUAUCUGAUAACAUAUAUUUUUAAAUUUGGGAAGCCUUUGUUAAUAUGUAUAUAUUUAGAAUUGUAGUAUGUUUUAGUAAUUGCAAAGUAUGAAGUGAAUAUCCUUAUAUCUUCUGGACAGGAUGAGUUUGAAAUCUAUUCUGUCAACUAGAUAGAGAAACUGCAUAGGAUUGCUAAAGGGACAUGGUUCUUUGUUCUGUUUCCCUAGUAUACCCUCUAUAUCUCUCAUGAUGGCAAUCCUGUUUCAGGCGAAAUAUAUGAUUGUUUACUAGGGAAUUGAGGUUAUUGAUAUGUAAAUAUUAUUUAAACUUCUGUGUUAACUAUUGUCAUUUUGUUAAUUUUUAAGACUUUUGUAGGCUACUUUUGAUUGACUGUCCUAGUGGUGGAAUUUUUUUUCCUGUGUCCUCUGGUAUUUUAUCCUUCCCUGCAAAUAAAGUAUUCCUAUUAGGAUCCUCUAUAGAGCUGGCUAUUGGUUAUACAUAGUUUUUAAUUUAUUUAUAAUAUCACAUAAUAAGCACAGUAGCUGUGCAGCUGCCUUUCCUGCAUGGAAUUAGGUCUAAUUUCCAAACAAUGACUCUGAACUCUUUCUUACAAUGUGGCAUCUUGGCUGCUCUUUGUUCUACUUGGACAGCCCUCAGGACCAGGCUUUCCUCUGUCUAAACCCAUGGCUGCUGACCUCCUUCCUCUCUCCUCUCCAUCACAUCCAUUCUUCCUUUCUUCUUUGGCAGCUUCUUCUUCCUUCUUCCCUCCUGGUGAUCCUCUCUAGCAAAGCCCUCAAAAACUCACUGCCACCAUCUCUCUGCUGUGCUUCUUUAUAAUCACAAUUAACUGGGAGCAGAGUCACUUUUUUGGGAGUUUUAACCAGUCUUACAUUCUACCAAUUAGCUUUAAAAUACAAGCAGAAUUAAGUCAGUCCCCUACAGGGUUUUCUUUUUUCUUUCUUUUUUUUGGGGGGGUUGGUUUAAUUUUUUCUUUACCUUUUUACUUUUUAUUUGAUUUUUGGCUAUCUCUUAUUAAUUGUUUAUUUUAUUUAUUUACAUUUCCAAUGUUGUUCCUCUCUCCAAAAUCCCCUAAUGAAGCCUAUCAUCACAUUUCUGCUCAGCUUUCCCUAUAUAACAGUGCUCCCCAACUCACACAUAUCCAUUCCCACCUCACACCUCUAGGAUCUCCAUUUGGUGGGGCAACAGGCCUAGCAGAGUCAAGGUCCUACAACCACAUUGAUACAAAGUAAAUCAAUUCUCUCAUACACAGUACCUAGGAACAUAGACCCAUAUGUAUACAAGUUGUAUACAAGUUGGCUGGCAGUUAAAUCCCUAGGAGCUGUGGGUUUGGUCACAGAGGGUCUGGUUAGAUAUUAAAGACCAAUGAUUGCUGCUUUCUUUUCCUUUUCUGGUUAUAGAGGAAAUUAUGUUUGUGUUCUUCUCUUUCUUAAAAUUAUUGUGAGAUGAUUAAUUUCUUGGAUUUCUUGGGUAAAAUUUAGUUCGUUGUCUUGUAGUUUACCUCCUAUUAUCCUAUGUUGUGCUUUCUUAGAGAAAAAUAUUGUUUAAAUUUGGUUUUGUCAUGUAAUAUCUUGGUUUCUUCAUUUAUGGUGAUUGUGAAUUACACAGUGUAUAGGAGCUUGGGUCUGCAUUACAUCUGCCCAAGAUUUUCUGGCUAUUAGAGUCUCUAUUGAGAACUCUGGUGUAAUUCAAAUAGGUCUGAAUUCAUUUGGUAAUGGAUAUUUGUACUACCCCCUUUAAUGUUCUUUCUUGGAUCUGUGAAUUUAGUGUUUUAAUUUUUAUGUGAAGGGAGGAAUUUUUCUGGUACAAUUAAUUUGGCAUUCUGUAGGCUUUUUGUAUUUUUUUGGCCAUUGCAAUUCGCUUCUAUAUCUAUUAUCCUUAGGUUUGGCCUUAAAUUGUGUCCUGAAAUUCAUGGAUAUUUUGGAUUCAAUACACCAUACAUUUUCAUCUGAGAUGGAUUCUUUUGCUUUGUGUGGUGACCUCCUUGAUCCCUAUUCUUCCAUUUAUUAUCCCGCUGGAUAAUGAGACAUGAUCAGGAAUGAUGACCUCUUACCAUAAACUAUAUGAAAAUAGGGAGGUGAAUUUAUGUGUCAAGUAUCAGUAGUCUCCUGGAUAGGUUUCCUUCCUGGUUGGCCAUAUACAACAGUUUCAAAAGCCUAUGAUUUGUGUUCCCUGGGAUUCCUACGAUGAUGCAAUCAGACAUAACAGAGAAAGACCAGAAUACACGAGGGAACUUGAUUUAUAUAAUAAAGAGAACAUUUGAAAGUUAGGUUACAAAAUAUCUGAUCACACUGUGAUCUCCAAGAAUGUAUUAUUUAAUGAAAAACUAUUUUGUGUUAUGGCAUCGCCAGGGCACAGACAUUUAUGCAAGAGCCAUUAGUUUCCUGUAAACAUGGACUUUAUUACUGUAUGGCUCACCUACCACACACCUUUAUUGCAAAGUUAAAAAGUGCACUUAGGUCCAGAGCAGAUCAAGGCAGGACUUGAAAGGAAAUGAAGGUAGCUAAGUCAAUGGAAAUUCUUAGAGUUGAAGGAUUUUUAGGAAAGUGUUCAGAGGGACCAAGCAUGCCCUUCGUCUGGGAGGACAGUGAAUUAGGAAGGACAGUUGGGAGCUUUACUUGACGUCAGCAUCUG